GUUUCAAGUUCUUAUAUUUAUUUUAUUGCUCAGCGUUUGUUGAUCAGGUGAUGGAAGAACUUUGUCGAGACCAAAUCCAACGCUCUUUAGUCGACCUAAAUCUCGUUGACAAUUCAACCCUCAACCCUAGAGAAAAAGCAAAUCCAUACCCAAGACUUCCAUUGGUCAAGUUACAAUCUAGAGUAGCCGACCCCACGUCGUCGUCGAACCAUUGAAUGCCAGCACACGUCAAGUGGAAAAUUUUCGUGUCUGCAUCGUGUCAAUCCACAGUGCAACGCUUGGAGUGUGGAUCGAUCGAUCGAUCGAUCGAGAUCUCUCUCUCUCUCUCGGCUUUUGAUGAAUGACUUCUCGCCUCCUCCUCCUCCUCCUCCUCCUCCCCAACCUCUCCCUUUACCCCAACGUAUCGCCGCGGCUCAGGGGCUCUUCCCCGGCCUCGCCCUAUCUCGGCAUCCUGCACCACGUUCGCUUCCUUCGGCGGCGGCGAUCCGCCGGCCGGAAAUGGGGUCGGGAUGGUACCGAGGUGAAGCUCGAUGAUUUCGAGAGGAUGGUCGGCUGAGGGCUUCGGGGUUGCCGAUGGCCAGAACAAGACGAAGGACGCGCGGCCGAUCGUUGUGAUCGAUAACUAUGAUAGCUUUACCUCUAGUCCAUGCCAGGUAAUGUCCUGUAACCAGAAAGACGAUGUGGUGUCCUGUAACUAUGACUGCGCUUAUUAUGGGUUGGUCUCCUUUAUUAAGAUAUAUCGGUAGUUCCUUCAAAAAGAAAUCCCCCUUUUAUUUUUUUGGCUAUC